UAUUAUAUUUAAAUUACUUUAGGUAGUAUUAAUUUUUUAAAAACCUAUGCAGUUUGGCGGCAUUAAAUCACUUUAGAGGAACCUGUCUUUUAAUCGAUACCACACGAUAAAUUUUACUUUUAUUUACAUCUUAUAUACCUCCGUCUUAAGGGUUAAUAAUUUUAUUCUCCCCUAAAAAGAACUCUAAAAAGUUAGGUAAAGGUGUAGACUAUAUAAAAGUUAAGAUGGGUUACAAUAAAUUCCAUUUAAGGAUUUUAAAUAAAAUUUAAAAAUGAAAAAGGAUCCAUUAGUAAUUUAAAGAUAUUAUCCUUAUAUGAAGGUGAUAAACAAUGUGCACACAUCG
rnacentral:rRNA from 1 species